UACAUGAUGUUAUGUUCUUGGACAUGGGU
rnacentral:piRNA from 1 species